AACGGGUCAAAACCCGACGAAUGACCCAUGACUCGUCUGUUUAAAAUGGAUUCGGGUUUAUACAAGUUAACUCGUUUAUAAGUGGGUCAAUCUGUGACCCACCUGUCUAUAAACAGGUCAACUCGGGUUCGGGUUGGGUGACCCAUUUAUUUAACCCACUAAAUCCUAAUUCCUCAUGCCCUAUGGGAGAACAUAAAACCCUAAAUCCUAAUUCCUCUUGCGGGCGCCGCGGCUGCCUCCUGCUGCUCCUUGAGUCCUCGUCUCCUCCACAGGUCCCAGCUCCAAUGUCUCCACUCCACAGCUCCACUGCCGUGCCUGUGCGCCCUUGCGUGAUCCUUCAGCUCAACCCAAGUUCAGCAAAACCAGGUCGCCGAUGAUCGGAAGAAAUCGGCAAACACCCUUGUUUCUCCCUCGAAAAUUUGAGUGAAGAUCGAUAGCUCACCACCCAUUUCGAUUUCUCCGACGAGAUCCACAAAUUUGGGCAGGAAUUCUCCAAAGGUAUCGCAGGGUUGAUCGUCGGCGAUGACCUGGUUCUGUUCGGCAAAAUACUCUUUGAGAGCUUCGAGGGCUUGCAAGCUCCUUAGAUCAGCAUCAGUGGGUCGUCGUCGCCAUCUCCGCCAACGCCCUCACCCUCGCGAGGAUGCUUCGCUGAUCGCACAGCGUCUGCGUCUCCUUCCAGCUUCCACAGUUCCACUUCCACCUCCAAUCUGUCAUUUUAUAUUUUAUAUAAAAUAAUGCCAUUUUAUGUGAAAUUUGUAAAAAAUUUAAAAAUAAAAAAAUUAUAUUUUUAAACAGCUAACCCAGGAUUUGCAUGGUAGCAAUUCGUUUAUGACUCGUUUAUAAUUUGUCUAGAUUCAGCCUUAAGCCCUUUUUGCCACCCAAAAUGAGAGAGUUUUUCUCAUUUUAUUUUUAAAAUAAAAUAAAAUAUUAAAUAAUACUCUAAUUGAGAAAAAAAUUUUCAAACUGAUGCUCACGUAAUUGUAACAUCAAGUUGCGAGAUUUAAAACUCCAGCGAGUAGGAAGAUGACGCGUGACAGAGCAAAUCUCGUAGGACUAAGAUACGAGAUUUGUUGCAUAGAAAAUACGUGAGAUGAUACGUGGCAAAUCUCGCAAGUUGGUCUUGCGAGAUUGGCUUCGCUCAUUCUUUUGCCCCUUUCUCCUUCAAUUUUCUUCGCAUUACAGAGCAGCUAGCAUCAGUGCAACAGAGAGUAGAGGUCGGACGCUUUGCAGGUUACCGUUGGCGAACGUUGCUACUUGUGAACGUUGCUGGCAGGAGUUGCUUGAGGAAGAAGCUUAUAAAAGGGGGAGAUGGGGUCUUUUUUCUUUCCCGAGUAUCGAUCUAAAUGGCAGGAAUUUCAAACAGUACUCCGGUGACGAUAUUGUUGUACAUAGAGGGGGACAUUAUAAUCGGACCAACUGGUGUUAAUUAUAGAAUUCCGUCAGUUCGAUCUAUUCGAAUUGGCCAUAGGUGUAAAUUAACUAAAUUGUAUAUGAAGAUAUACAAGUAUUUGCAUAUUGAUCCAAAUCAAUAUGCAUUGCGGGUAACCGCAAGAUUCCCUAUGCAAGGGCAUCAUGAUACAGUCCUCCAUGAGGCUGUUCCCGUAACUGACGAUUAUGGUCUACGGCUCAAUGCAUUGUGUUGGAUGCACACUGCGUAGGGACGACAUAUUUAACUGUGCAGUUAUAUGUUGAAACCAUUUCUUACAUAAGUGUUGCUGCGGAUAGGCAGACGGGAACCUCUGUUGAGCAUGUGGUUGAAGCGGAGGAGGAGGUCGAUGCACCCGCUAUGCCGCCUCGUUCUCGUCCUGAGACAUCAUAUUAGUUCUUAUCGCGUGCGCUUCGCAUGGAUGAUGAUUACACAGUACCUCUUGGCGGAGAUGAUUUACAUCCAGGACGACGGGACAGGACAUCUGAUGCAAAUGACCAACAGGGAGAGGGCAGACACAGACGGUAGCCACCACGACCCCGGAGACGACCUCGCUGCGGCACCGAGUAGUUUAGCAUUAUUUUCAUUGCAUUUCAUUUGUAUGUAUAUCAUUGAUUAUUUUUAUUUCAUUUGUAUAGUAUUGAUUAUUUUUAUUUUAUUUGUAUAUCAUUGAUUAUUUUUAUUUCACUUGUAUAUGAUUUGAUUAUUUUCAUUUGACUUGUAUAUCAUUUGAUUAUUUUCAUUUCAUUUAUAUAGUCAUGUGUCUUAUGCGCACUUCAUAC